UUUUGUUUCUAGCACAUCUUUUCCCCUCCGGAACUAAAAGGGAAUAUAUUACUGGAUGAAGGGGGAGAUAAGUGAACUCAUAAAAUGAAGUGUUGAAGAAACCAAAAGAAAUGAAUCAUUAUAAAUACUGUGGUCCUGAGUCUCUAAACUAAUAACGGGCAGUUAGACUCCGGACAGCUGCUGCCAAGAGACACAACUUGGAAUUCACAUCACAUUGAGUUUCCACCAUAUCACAGGAGGAUCCU
rnacentral:lncRNA from 1 species